GACUAUAUCCUCGUCGUUUCCGUUCUUCUUUCGAUCCUUGCUCUCCCACUCUCUCGUCCUCUUCUCAUUAUCUUUCUCUUAGUCCUUUCUGUCAUCUAAUAAUCGCAAGUAAUCUUUGAUAGUGGGAAUCACAAUUUUUUCCCCCAAAUCAAAAAGCUAGGUCUUCGAUUCCGCCAUAGUCUCCAUCGCAAAAAUCGUCGCUGGCCACAAGAUCUCGAUUUCACCUCCUUAUCGUUUUUGAAACCUCAAGACCACGUUCACCAUGGUUGAUAAGGAGAAAGCCGUGAGUCUGUACCGGAGAGCUGCGGAGCUUGGUGAUGUUGUUGGUCAAUGUAAUGUGGGGAUUUCUUAUCUUCAAGAAUUUGGAUUUGACGAGAUUAUUACUGACCAAUUGGUAAUGGAUUGGUGGAGCAUUUUCUGAGACAUUGGUUGCUUGUAUCUGCAGUUCAACCCUCGAAUCCCAAGGAAGCGAUCAAGUGGUUGAAGCAAUCUGCUGAGAAUGAUUACGUUCGAGCACACUAUCACUGUAUCAGU